rnacentral:rRNA from 1 species
GGGUUGUGAGGUUAAGCGACUAAGCGUACACGGUGGAUGCCUAGGCAGUCAGAGGCGAUGAAGGGCGUGCUAAUCUGCGAAAAGCGUCGGUAAGCUGAUAUGAAGCGUUAUAACCGACGAUACCCGAAUGGGGAAACCCAGUGCAAUACGUUGCACUAUCGUUAGAUGAAUACAUAGUCUAACGAGGCGAACCGGGGGAACUGAAACAUCUAAGUACCCCGAGGAAAAGAAAUCAACCGAGAUUCCCCCAGUAGCGGCGAGCGAACGGGGAGGAGCCCAGAGUCUGAAUCAGUUUGUGUGUUAGUGGAAGCGUCUGGAAAGUCGCACGGUACAGGGUGAUAGUCCCGUACACCAAAAUGCACAGGCUGUGAACUCGAUGAGUAGGGCGGGACACGUGACAUCCUGUCUGAAUAUGGGGGGACCAUCCUCCAAGGCUAAAUACUCCUGACUGACCGAUAGUGAACCAGUACCGUGAGGGAAAGGCGAAAAGAACCCCGGCGAGGGGAGUGAAAUAGAACCUGAAACCGUGUACGUACAAGCAGUGGGAGCACCUUCGUGGUGUGACUGCGUACCUUUUGUAUAAUGGGUCAGCGACUUAUAUUUUGUAGCAAGGUUAACCGAAUAGGGGAGCCGUAGGGAAACCGAGUCUUAACUGGGCGUCUAGUUGCAAGGUAUAGACCCGAAACCCGGUGAUCUAGCCAUGGGCAGGUUGAAGGUUGGGUAACACUAACUGGAGGACCGAACCGACUAAUGUUGAAAAAUUAGCGGAUGACUUGUGGCUGGGGGUGAAAGGCCAAUCAAACCGGGAGAUAGCUGGUUCUCCCCGAAAGCUAUUUAGGUAGCGCCUCGUGAACUCAUCUUCGGGGGUAGAGCACUGUUUCGGCUAGGGGGCCAUCCCGGCUUACCAAACCGAUGCAAACUCCGAAUACCGAAGAAUGUUAUCACGGGAGACACACGGCGGGUGCUAACGUCCGUCGUGAAGAGGGAAACAACCCAGACCGCCAGCUAAGGUCCCAAAGUCAUGGUUAAGUGGGAAACGAUGUGGGAAGGCACAGACAGCCAGGAUGUUGGCUUAGAAGCAGCCAUCAUUUAAAGAAAGCGUAAUAGCUCACUGGUCGAGUCGGCCUGCGCGGAAGAUGUAACGGGGCUAAACCAUGCACCGAAGCUGCGGCAGCGACACUUAGGUGUUGUUGGGUAGGGGAGCGUUCUGUAAGCCGUUGAAGGUGACCUGUGAGGGUUGCUGGAGGUAUCAGAAGUGCGAAUGCUGACAUAAGUAACGAUAAUGCGGGUGAAAAACCCGCACGCCGGAAGACCAAGGGUUCCUGUCCAACGUUAAUCGGGGCAGGGUGAGUCGACCCCUAAGGCGAGGCUGAAAAGCGUAGUCGAUGGGAAACAGGUUAAUAUUCCUGUACUUGGUGUUACUGCGAAGGGGGGACGGAGAAGGCUAGGCUGGCCGGGCGACGGUUGUCCCGGUUUAAGCGUGUAGGGGGAGUGACCAGGUAAAUCCGGUUGCUUAUCAACCCUGAGGCGUGAUGACGAUGCACCACGGUGCAGAAGCAGUUGAUGCCAUGCUUCCAGGAAAAGCCUCUAAGCAUCAGGUAACAUUAAAUCGUACCCCAAACCGACACAGGUGGUCAGGUAGAGAAUACUCAGGCGCUUGAGAGAACUCGGGUGAAGGAACUAGGCAAAAUGGUGCCGUAACUUCGGGAGAAGGCACGCUGGCGUUAGGUGAAAGGACUAGCUCCUGGAGCUGAAGCCAGUCGCAGAUACCAGCUGGCUGCAACUGUUUAAUAAAAACACAGCACUGUGCAAACACGAAAGUGGACGUAUACGGUGUGACGCCUGCCCGGUGCUGGAAGGUUAAUUGAUGGGGUCAGCCGCAAGGGGAAGCUCUUGAUCGAAGCCCCAGUAAACGGCGGCCGUAACUAUAACGGUCCUAAGGUAGCGAAAUUCCUUGUCGGGUAAGUUCCGACCUGCACGAAUGGCGUAAUGAUGGCCAGGCUGUCUCCACCCGAGACUCAGUGAAAUUGAACUCGCUGUGAAGAUGCAGUGUACCCGCGGCAAGACGGAAAGACCCCGUGAACCUUUACUAUAGCUUGACACUGAACAUUGAGCCUUGAUGUGUAGGAUAGGUGGGAGGCCUUGAAGUGUGGACGCCAGUCUGCAUGGAGCCAACCUUGAAAUACCACCCUUUAAUGUUUGAUGUUCUAACUCGGCCCCAUGAUCUGGGGUGAGGACAGUGUCUGGUGGGUAGUUUGACUGGGGCGGUCUCCUCCCAAAGAGUAACGGAGGAGCACGAAGGUUAGCUAAUCACGGUCGGACAUCGUGAGGUUAGUGCAAAGGCAUAAGCUAGCUUGACUGCGAGAGUGACGGCUCGAGCAGGUACGAAAGUAGGUCUUAGUGAUCCGGUGGUUCUGAAUGGAAGGGCCAUCGCUCAACGGAUAAAAGGUACUCCGGGGAUAACAGGCUGAUACCGCCCAAGAGUUCAUAUCGACGGCGGUGUUUGGCACCUCGAUGUCGGCUCAUCACAUCCUGGGGCUGAAGUAGGUCCCAAGGGUAUGGCUGUUCGCCAUUUAAAGUGGUACGCGAGCUGGGUUUAGAACGUCGUGAGACAGUUCGGUCCCUAUCUGCCGUGGGCGUUGGAAGAUUGAGAGGGGCUGCUCCUAGUACGAGAGGACCGGAGUGGACGAAUCACUGGUGUUCGGGUUGUCAUGCCAAUGGCAUUGCCCGGUAGCUAAAUUCGGAAGAGAUAACCGCUGAAAGCAUCUAAGCGGGAAACUUGCCUCGAGAUGAGUCUUCCCUGGGGCUUAAAGCCCCCUGAAGGAACGUUAAAGACUAUGACGUUGAUAGGCUGGGUGUGUAAGUGCAGCGAUGUAUUGAGCUAACCAGUACUAAUGAUCCGUGAGGCUUAACCUUACAACACCGAAGGUGUUU